rnacentral:rRNA from 1 species
UACGUAGGGCGCAAGCGUUGUCCGGAAUUAUUGGGCGUAAAGAGCUCGUAGGUGGCGUGUCGCGUCUGCCGUGAAAGCCCAUGGCUUAACUGUGGGUCUGCGGUGGAUACGGGCAGGCUGGAGGCUGGUGAGGGGCAAGCGGAAUUCCUGGUGUAGCGGUGAAAUGACGCAGAUAUCAGGAGGAACACCGGUGGCGAAGGCGGAUCUCUGGGCCUUACCUGACGCUCAGGCGCGAAAGCUAGGGGAGCGAACUGG